GUAGGUGGCAAGCGUUGUCCGGAAUUAUUGGGCGUAAAGCGCGCGCAGGCGGUUCUUUAAGUCUGAUGUGAAAGCCCACGGGCUCAACCGUGGAGGGUCAUUGGAAACUGGAGAACUUGAGUACAGAAGAGGAAAGCGGAAUUCCACGUGUAGCGGUGAAAUGCGUAGAGAUGUGGAGGAACACCAGUGGCGAAGGGGGCUUUCUGGUCUGUAACUGACGCUGAGGCGCGAAAGCGUGGGGAGCAAACAGGAUUAGAUACCCUGGUAGUCCACGCCGUAAACGAUGAGUGCUAAGUGUUAGGGGGUUUCCGCCCCUUAGUGCUGCAGCUAACGCAUUAAGCACUCCGCCUGGGGAGUACGGCCGCAAAGGCUG
rnacentral:rRNA from 1 species